rnacentral:tRNA from 1 species
CCAGCCCUGGCCGGUGCUUGGCGGCAAUCUCGUCGGCGGGCUGGCGGGCGUUGCGCUCGCACAGCUGUUCGGCCAGUUGGGCUGGA